rnacentral:rRNA from 1 species
CGAAAGCCUGACGGAGCAAGACCGCGUGGGGGACGAAGGCUCUUGGGUUGUAAACCCCUUUUCUCUGGGAAGAAAAAUGACGGUACCAGAGGAAUAAGCAUCGGCUAACUCCGUGCCAGCAGCCGCGGUAAGACGGAGGAUGCAAGCGUUAUCCGGAAUUAUUGGGCGUAAAGCGUCCGCAGGUGGCAUUUCAAGUCGGCAGUCAAAGACCGGGGCUUAACCCUGGAAAGGCUGUUGAUACUGAAAAGCUAGAGUAGGGUAGGGGCAGAGGGAAUUCCCGGUGUAGCGGUGAAAUGCGUAGAGAUCGGGAAGAACACCGGUGGCGAAAGCGCUCUGCUGGGCCUAAACUGACACUAAGGGACGAAAGCUA